GGCCACACAUGGCCAGGCACAUGUGCCACACUAGCUAGCUAGCUCUCAUUGCUACUGAUCUCAGAUACAGCUUCAGGAGCACCUUGUACUGCCUGAUGUAGACCCCACAUAUAUACUCAGACAUGCAGGAGUAGGGGUAUUAUCUCUCCGGAGAGCCCCGAAACUGGGUAAAUUAGCGCGUGCUACUCGUAUAUCUGUUCCUGGAUAUUCCGACAGCAGUCUUGCCGACCAUGAUAAGCCAUUCAUUGACAUAUAUCACACCCAAUCCUCGACAUGAUGGCUGAGAUCGAAGAAUGAAUUAAAUAGAUAGGGCCUUCGAGGAGAUGGAGUCAGCCGGGUGUUUGAUAACUCUUAAAAGCAGCCGUGUGGGGCAGCAGCACACAGAGUAGGUGUGUUGUGUUGUAGGCUAUAUCAAACGCGUGAGUACUCCAAACGCGUCGGUAGCGAACGAACCCGCGCACGCCCCGUCCCGCAUCCUCACCGCCCGGUUCCCGCCCAGCGGCAGGCAGGCGCCAACCGAGCCCGCAGCUUACCGUCCUCUCCGAUUCCUUCCCCCCUUCUCCCGCCCCCGCGAUUAAAACGCAUCCAUUCUGCGUUCCACGCACGCACGCACGCACGACACGAACCCAAUGCUAUUCUAGCCCGCCCAAAAGCCGGGUUGGCGCUGCCGCAGCCCGCACCAAGCUCGGCUCUCCAUUCCAUGCGCGCGCGCUGCUGCCUGCCACCUGCUUCCGCGAGGAGAGCCUCCUCCUCCACCACCAGCCCGCGGCGGGCGCCAUGGACCUGCUCAGCGUCUUCUUCCAUGGCGCGACGCUCGCGUUCGAGCGGGACGACCUCGGGAGGGAGAUCAUGGGGAUCGCCGUGCCGGGCGCGCUCGCGCUCAUGGCCGACCCGCUCGCGUCGCUCGUCGACACCGCCUUCAUCGGCCGCAUAGGUCCAGUAGAGAUUGCAGCUGUAGGUGUAUCUAUUGUCGUGUUCAAUCAAGUAACAAGAAUUGCAGUAUUCCCCCUUGUGAGCGUCACAACAUCAUUUGUUGCAGAGGAAGAUGCUACUCCCAGUGACAGAAACAAAGAUGAAAUAAGUGGCGAGAAUGAACACAAUGUUAGCGAAAUGGAUGAACUGAUUACUCAUGAAGAGAAUAAUGCCACAUACGGCAAAUCAUCUUUCGAAACUGACUCAAGUGAGAUCAAUACUGAGCAUAAGCGGAAAAAAAUUCCAUCAGUUUCUAUAGCGUUACUACUUGGUGGGGUGCUUGGUCUUGUUGAAACUCUGCUGCUUGUUUCCUGUGCAAAACCUAUCUUAGACUUCAUGGGUGUGAAAGCGGACACGGGAAUGUUGAAUCCUGCAUUACAGUACUUAGUACUCAGAUCUUUAGGUGCUCCUGCUGUUCUUUUAUCUCUGGCAAUGCAAGGGGUAUUUCGUGGACUUAAAGAUACAAGGACGCCUCUAUAUGCAACUGUGGCUGGAGAUGCAAUCAAUAUAGUUUUGGAUCCAAUAUUUAUGUUUGUGUUUCAGUAUGGUGUCAGUGGUGCAGCAGUUGCUCAUGUUAUAUCACAAUAUUUCAUUGCUGCCAUACUCCUAUGUAGACUACGCCUGCAAGUUGAACUACUGCCACCAAACUUGAAACAUCUGCCGAUUGGCCGGUUCCUUAAAAACGGUUCUAUGUUACUUGCCAGAGUUAUUGCCGCAACAUGCUGUGUAACACUAUCUGCAUCAAUGGCUGCACGGCUAGGUUCAACUCAAAUGGCUGCAUUCCAGAUUUGCUUGCAGAUCUGGUUGGCAUCUUCCCUUCUUGCUGAUGGAUUGGCUUUUGCUGGACAGGCUAUAAUUGCAAGUGCAUUUGCUCGUAAGGACCAUUUGAAGGCCAAGGCAACAGCUUCCCGCGUACUGCAGGAGUUGGCCUCCAUACAGGUUCGAGAUUAUUUACAGAAGACCAGGGUGUACUGCAUCAUAUCUACGUGGCAAUACCGGUACAGUUACAGUAUGCCGGGUCCUAAGAGUACUGCAACUCCGAGUUUUGAAAUGUUAUAUUUGUCGCUCUCACUCAACCGAUCAACGCUUUAGCUUUUGUUUUCGACGGUGUCAAUUAUGGUGCAUCUGAUUUUGCAUAUGCUGCUUAUUCAUUGAUACUUGUGGCGAUUGUCAGCAUUGCUUGGAUAGUCACCCUCGCCAAUUACAGCGGUUUCAUUGGAAUCUGGAUAGCCUUGUCGAUCUACAUGUGCCUCCGCAUGUUUGCAGGGUUAUGGAGGAUUGGGACUGCACGAGGGCCAUGGGCAUUCCUUCGCAGCUGAGCAUGUAUAUUCUCGUAGAUAGUCUGACUGUAGGUAGAAUAUUUACACUUGUAAACAACUUUGGAGCAACUGUGUUACUUGUAUGCCUCUAGCCUGCCACCAUGAUCACCAGAGACCAGACUGAUCUUUAACAAUGCAACCUAGCACAAGAAUGGCAUAUUGUACAAACGAAUAAACAAAAAGAGUUGCACUUUUUUUUUUCGAACAUGCUA